UGCUGCAGCCUGGAGGAGGGAGGGGAAUGGCUCUGCUCAGCGUUCUCUCAGCCUGCUCCUCACCACCUGUCCUUGACUUACUGUGUACAGACAGGACACAGAGGAAGCUGUGCUGCUGGAGGCUUUGUGUCUGUGUGUGUUUCAUAAAGAAUUCUUCUCCCAGUGGCUAUCCAUCUUCUACCUGUGGUGCUACAGUGGAGUGCAACUGAAAGGAAGGAACGACCACCCUUGGCUGCUUGGGCUCAGAUGGGAGGCAGCGCUGACUCUGGCUGGGACUGGGGAUGCUGAACGGAGGCAGGGAAGGCCUGUUUGAGCUGGGACAGCAGCUCCAGCAGCAGGGAGAGUACCAGGCCGCCCUGCACUGCUUCCUCAGCUGCCUACUGGGACUCACUCAUGUCCAAAGCUUCACCUCUCUGCCCAAUUGCUUACACCAGAUUGCAGAACUCUUCAUCACUGAAAAGAAUUAUGGAAAAGCUCUCCAGUUCAUCCAGGCUGAAAAAAUGUUCUAUGAGGUGGCAUUGAUUGAACUCACGGCUCUCCAGGGGAGAACAGGGCCCCAGGAGGAGGCUUCCCUGGGCUGUGGAGGAUGGAACACUGCAGAGGAGCUUUCAGAGCAGGCCUGCCAGGCACAGCACCUGGAACGGUUGGCUCAGCUCUGCAUCAUGAGCAAACAACCUCAUCUUGCUCUAGAAUACAGCGGUAAGGCAACAAAGAUUCACCAGAGGGCCUUUGGUAAUGACCAUCCGAUCACAGCCAGAAGCAUGGAGCUCAUGGCCACAGUCUAUGCUGAGAUUGGCAAGACUGAGUACUCAGACUCUCUUGGUCAGUGCGUGUCCGUGCUGUCCAAACGCAUCGUCGGUGCAGAGUCAAUUCGAGACACUGUCAACUGCUUUCCUCAUUCCCACUGGGAAAAACAAGAGGUUCGCCACAGAAAGGAUUCAAAGAACCAACCAGUGGACACACUUGUCUCCAAGGUAAGCAAUGGAAAAGUCCCCAUCUCCAUUCUAAAGAGGUCAAAUCCAAGCUUUGGUUCAGACGCAGAGCCUAACCACAGACGGAAAGGAGAGAGGAGGGUACGAUUCAGAGAACCGGAGACCACAGUACAUGAAAUCCCACACUGUGACUAUUUAGCUGCCUAUGAGACAACGCCCUCCCGCCCUCACCUCGCACUCUUCACCUGCCUCUUCUUGCUGAUGUCAUUCCUGGGCGUGGCCUUGUACUGCACAGACCGCAGACGCCCACAGCGAGUGUGUGAGGAGAUGGAGGCGGUCCUGGCUGUCUACCUGCUGCAUAUGAAACAGCUUCUGUGGGGCUGCUGGAUAUGGCUAACUAUGCAGUGACUGACCGACCACAAGGGGAGACAUGGAACAUCCCUGAUGUCUGUUAUUCCUCCUUGUCCUUAUAUUAAAGGUGACCAGGCCUUCAAACGCCUUAACCCUUUGGCAAGGCUUUGUGCGCUGUCUGUGGUGUCAAACCACACUCACAUCAUCAAAGGGAAGAAGUGCAAUCCCAGAAGUAUGUAGCUUCCAUGUUUGUAUGUAAAUACUGACUGAGGUGGUGGGCACACCAAUAAGAUAUUUAAGUUAAAAAAAAAAAAAAAAAGACUCUUUGCACAUGUGUGAUGUCGACGCUCACUUUAACGCUCAUGUAACCUCCACAUGUGACCUUUCACCUUUCACGUCAUGACACUCAGUUAGCUUUUUUGUGAAUGUUCCCAUGGAAUGCAAAUGGAUGUGUAUAUACUGUAAGUUUCAGAAUAUGAGGGACUAUCAUAGUAUUUAGCCUUUGACUUGCACAUAAAUUAAAGCAAAGAUGUGACACGCUUAGAUUGGAACCGUGCACGUUUGAAAUGAGUGGGAAGGUAAAAGCAUAGACUAUUGAGUAAUGACCCAUUAGAUUAAACACAUCAAAGCAGUGAGGGGAAUUUUAUUAGAGGACAGAAAAAAAAACAUCCUCAUUUUCAUGUUUUUUCUCACUGUUGCACAAAAUUGUCUCUCAUCAAAAAGAAAAUACUCGGCUCUUUAUAACUUAUUAUUAAAUACUGUCUAAUUAAUACAGUAUAUCUGUACAUGUGUAAAAUUACAUUUUUUUUGGAUUUAUCUUUUUUUUUCUUCAAAGCAUUAGGUUUUUAUUUUAUACUUAUGACUCUGUCAAUAUUUGUUUUGAAGAUGUAUAAAUGGGUUUAAAUCGAACAUUUUUUCUAGAGGAAAUCUAAUUUGUAACUUUUUUCAUGCCAAACAUCAAAAAGUAGCCAAGGAGUCUGACAUUGUCUGAUCUCCAACUAAACCAACCCUUUUAAAACCAUAAGAAUCUAUUUCCCCGACAUAGCACUUGUUACAAGCAAUAACGCAUCACAUGGUUUCCAUUUAAACAUUGUCCUUAUAUAUAUAUAUCAGGUUUCAGGGAGCUCGGAAUGAAGAGCAUUGGAUUUGGAAGCAGUGACGAUGAUGACAGGAGGAAAGUGAGUCCCAACCCUGUACUGUCCAACGAACCCUCACCAGCAAUAAAACCAUGAACUCAAUGAACUCCUGUAGCA
rnacentral:lncRNA from 1 species